ACAGAGGUCCCAAGCGUUGUUCGGAUUCACUGGGCGUAAAGGGUGCGUAGGUGGUAAGGCAAGUCAGGUGUGAAAUCUCCGGGCUCAACCCGGAAAUGGCAUUCGAAACUACCUUGCUAGAGGGUUUGAGGGGGGACUGGAAUACUUGGUGUAGCAGUGAAAUGCGUAGAUAUCAAGUGGAACACCAGUGGCGAAGGCGAGUCCCUGGAAAACUCCUGACACUGAGGCACGAAAGCUAGGGGAGCAAACAGGA
rnacentral:rRNA from 1 species